rnacentral:rRNA from 1 species
UACGGAGGGUGCGAGCGUUGUCCGGAAUCAUUGGGCGUAAAGGGCGCGUAGGUGGCGGGACAAGCGUGCGGUGAAAGCUCGGGGCUCAACCCCGAGUCGGCCGUGCGAACUACUGGGCUGGAGCACUGUAGAGGCAGGCGGAAUUCCGGGUGUAGCGGUGGAAUGCGUAGAGAUCCGGAAGAACACCGGUGGCGAAGGCGGCCUGCUGGGCAGUUGCUGACACUGAGGCGCGACAGCGUGGGGAGCAAACAGG